CCUACGUGGGGCUGCAGUGAGGCAUAUUGGUCAAUGGGCGCGAGCCUUAACCAGCCAAGUAGCGUGAAGGAUGCCUGCCCUACGGGUUGUAAACUUCUUUUAUAAAGGAAUGAAGUGAGGCACGUGUGCCUUUUUGUAUGUACUUUAUGAAUAAGGAUCGGCUAACACCGUGCCAGCAGCCGCGGUAAUACGGAUGAUCCGAGCGUUAUCCAGAUUUAUUGGGUUUAAAGGGAGCGUAGAUGGGUUGUUAAGUCAGUUGUGAAAGUUUGCGGCUCAAUCGUAAAAUUGCAAUUGAUACUGGCAGUCUUGAGUACAGUUGAGGUAGGCGGAAUUCGUGGUGUAGCGGUGAAAUGCUUAGAAAUCACGAAGAAAUCCGAUUGCGAAGGCAGCUUACUAAACUGCCACUGACAUUGAUGCUCGAAAGUGUGGGUAUCAAACAGGAUUAGAUACCCGAGUAGUC
rnacentral:rRNA from 1 species